UGAAGACAUCAUAAUGCUUGCACUGUGAUGUUUCAUGCAUUCCCUCCAUGCAACAGUAAGUUUUUAUAGAGCCCCCUUCUUUACUAAUAUGAAUUUCAACAAAAGAGCCAACAGCCCUUAAAUCCAUCAACUGGUCAUAAAUCUAAGCAGCUGCAUUAUGAGUCAGAGAUCAGCGCAGUGAAUGGGCUACUGUGUUUCCACCCGGGAGAUGGAGCACACCCUCUCUGAAAUGGUCAUUCUCCCUUCAAUCAGUAACGUUCAGGUUAAGGGGAAGUCAGAACGGCAGCUCUUCACGAGUCUUCAAAGGCAAGGUGGGCCUAAGCCAUUGAUAAUGACUAAUGACAUAGUCUCAGAGGAGGACAGAAAAAAGAAAUGUGAUGUACGCUAGUUCAACCACAUGAGCCAGAAAUCUUCCAAUCCACAAAUGUUCUUUACCCACUCAGGUAUUGUGGUAGCUCAUGGUUGCCUGUCUGAAUAUUCAUUCUUACUGUGUAACGCUGAGGAAGAUCGUCCCGAGGGCAGACUGAACCGAUGCUCAGGGCUCAUCAUAGAAGUCACUUUGAAAAAUUGCCUGUGUCUCUGAUGGGUUCUUCUUCCGUGUCAGAUGCACAAACAUUUGUUCAUCAUCUGUGUCCUUCUCUAGAAAGCUGUUUUUCUUAGUUGGAAAGGAGCUAGCAUUCAUUCGUGCCCGUGAGUUUCUCCUUUUGGCCUGAAACUCUUGCCUUAUCUAAGUGAUGGUGACAUUUUAGGUGUCGUGUGUUGGCUAGAGAGAGAGACGUUUUCGAGAAGGAGGUAUGAAACUGGUCCAGAACGGUUCCUGCCAGCGCUUGGAUUUCACACCACAAAGGCAACCCGGGACUCUGCUUUUGUAAAAGUCACCGUUGGCACUCAGACCCACUGACCAGGCUCCAUUUCCUGCCAAAGGGGAUUUGACAUAAAAUUAGUGCAACCUCAUUUCAAUCAAUUUUAACCAAUAUUUUUAUAUUCUAAAGCACAAUAUCUGUAAUAUCCUGGAAUAUUGAACAAAAAUGAAAUUUUGGCUUUGGUUUAUACACGUAAGCAUAGAGCAAUUUGGCGCCUUUCUGUUUGGUUUAAUUGCAUUUUUACAAAUAUAAUUUGAUCGCAUUAGAAUAGAUUUGUAAAAGGACAGAUUAGGAAAGACGAGGAUGGCAAGGAGUGAAUAAACCGGGAGAUUGAAGAAAGCUGACAUCAGAAUCGUAAGCACUAUAGUCUACGAGGCAAUUCCUCAUAAGUACUUCAUUUGAGGCUUAGAGGACAUAAGCGUUAUCCGACCCAUUUUAUAGAUGGGAACACUGGGGUGCGGGGGUAUCUGGCUUUCCACGAGGACUUGAAUUUUUAUAGAUGCCAUACUUAGUGCCUAUGCCAUACUGCCUCUCGAAGGAGGUAGUGAGGGUAGAGGCGGACAGGAGACGGGUGCCAACAAGCUUGAGGUGAACACAGAGGGUGCUGGCAUUGGGCCAGCAGGAAACAAAGCCAGAACUGCUGCUGACCAGCUGCCAGCACAGCUGUUAUAACUGCCACACCUCUCUGUGAAGGGCCAAGUGGGCCGGGCUGGCCUGGGCUAUCCUGGUCUGCCUUCAAACCCAGGCUGCAGCCUGCUCUCUGUGGACUUGUCCCAUUGCCCCAUCACCGGGAAAACCAGGAAAAGAUAUUGCUGUCCCCUAAGUGCUGAGAGACCUCCUCCACCUCCACCCCUGCCUCCCGCUUCUGACCUUUUCACCCCAGAGGCACCCUGCAGUGCUCUGCAAUAAAGUUAUGGAUUAUUCAGUGACCGUUCCCCUGCUCUGCUCCUGCUGGCUGACAUUGCUGACCACUGGGCCCUGAGCUGGGUCAGUGCACAGUCUGGAGUGAUCCCUGGUGACGCUGGGAAAUGAACCUACGACCUCUUCUUGCCGAGGGUCAGUGAACUUUCUGGUGGUGCACGGGUCCAUCAGAAAAAAGUCAGCAGGGCCAGCCGGGAAAAGUGCUGACAACUGUGGGCAUUUGCAAAGCAGCCUCCUCACACGGAAGACUGAUAGCUAUCUGUCCUUAUCUCAGCUUUCCCAGCUUCCACAGCCCGGCCCUUUACUUUGAAUAAGCAAAUUGACAUUGAGGUCAUCUUAAAUUAACCAAUCAUAUUCCCCAGGUCAUUUUCUCAAGGAAAGAGUUGAACCCAAAGAAGGGUGUGUAUCCUUUGAAAGGAUCAUAAAUCUAUGCUUCUCUUGGUUUUUCUUUCCAUUUUUCUCUUCCCUGUGUUACGUAUGCUUUUAUACUCAUCCUAUUGUCUUUCAUUUAUAUUUAUUUUUCUAUUUGUAUAUUUAAUUGAAUAUGUAGUCAUACUCUCCUGAUAUAUUUAUAAAUACUACCCUACUUACACAAAUACUAUGUGUUGAGGUACGUGCUCAGAGCUGUUACACAUACAAGGAGAGGUCUUUGCCCCUAGGAGAGUCUGGUUUGAUCAGGCAGCUAGAAUACACGCACAAACAUCCACGCGACAGAUAGGAUGCAAUAAAUAUCACAAAAGGGACAUGAAGACAUUGCUAUCGGAGUAUAGAGGAGAGUAAGUCCGUGUUCAGACUGGACCCACUUUCAGACGAAGUGAUCAGGGAGGCUCAGGAGGUAUGACAUUUGGUCCAUGAACUGACCAUUGAUGACUGAGGUGGCCUGGCACUGGGUUCUUUCGCAGGGUCUGGUGCAAAGUGACACCUCACACAUUCCAGGUAGAAAGAGCAGCGUGAAUAAGAAUGUGGACACAGUGAAUGACAAGCAGCCUCGUUUUCCUUCACUGUUUCUUUUGGCAAAUGUUUAUUGAGCAUCUACUGUGAACCAGGCAGGCAUGGCUCUAGGUGUUGAGGAUCCAGGAAUAAAAUAAACGCACACAGUUCCUGCUGUCACUGGCCUUACCUUCUGGUGGCAGGAGAAAGACACUCAACAAAGAAAACUAUAACAUACCAGGUGGUGUUAGGCACUGAAAAGAAACGCAAAGCAGAAUACAGGGGCAGAGAGUGACAAGGGAAGUGUUAUGUUAAAGAGGGUAGUUGGGAAAACCAUUCUGACAAACCAAAACUUGAUGGAAGAGAGAGAGGCCGCCAUGCAGAUUUCAGGGGCUGAAACCCCAAGGCAGAGGGAAUAACAAGCGUGGAGAGAACACACUGGGUGUGUGUGAGGAGCACAGACGAGCCAAAGGGGCAAGUGUUUGAGGGGGUGAAGUACAGGGGACGAGGCUAGAGAGAGCGUUGGGAUCACAUCCUGUGGGGCUCUGCACACCGUGGUAACGACUUGGUACUUACUCUGACCACUUUGAGCAGAGCAAUGACAUGAUCUCACUCAUACUUCCAGAGGAGACUAGACUGCAAAGUAGGCUGAAGCUGGGAGAUGAGCUAAGAGUCCUAUAGUUUUCCUUUUCCUGGAGCAUGGUGUACAGAUAUUGUGCAUACGGAACUAGUUUAUUUUUCCAGGAAAAAAACCUGGAGGAGUAAUUUGGAACCAGAACAUGGAGGUUCUGCCUUGCGAGCCAAGCCAAUGACAUUUUUGGAGACAGCGAGGAGCCAUUGGAAGAGUUAAGCAGCUAAGUGCUAUGAUUGUUAUUUAGCUUAGAAAAGCUAAACAGGGCUCAGAUUCUAGGACUUGAGGGGUGUGGGUCCUGCUUCUGCCAGUCCCCAGCCCUGAAAUCUUGGGCAACCAUUGAACCACCCUAAACUUUAGUUUCACCAUCUGUAGUUUAUUCAUAUGCUCCUCUCCUCUCUAUACUGCCAAGAGUUAUUAUGAAGAUGAUGUGAUAGGAAUAUAUAUGAAAGCCUUCCAUAAACCAUGACACAGAGAACCAUAGCAAGGAUGAUGAUGAUGGUGAUGGAUUGAAAAGGGGUGCCUGGAUGAAGACUUAUUGGGGAGCUGCUGCCACUGUCCAGGUGACCUGGACAGGCCUGAGAUGAGGUGAUGGGAGUGGGAAUGGGAAGGAAAAAGCAAAUGUCAAAGACAUUGCAAAGGAAGAAUCUACAGCUCUGAGGGAUGGGCGGUGAAUACUCUGUAAGUGCUAUAGUUAGGGUCAAACACUCAAUCCUGCAGCCUGCUGGGAGACUUGUGAGUUCUCAUGCAAGGUUAUAGUUGCCACCAUGGGCUUGCUGCAACGAUGGGCAGAGGGAUAAACAUGGAGGAUCAAAGGCUGGCCCGGUGCAGGAAGGAGCAGCAGAAGAUACACUGGUAUAGGAGAUGUGGGAAUAACUGUCAGAGAGGGAAGAAACCAAAUGAAAAUUGUAGCUUGGGAGAGGGGGCAAAGAAAGGCUGUACAGAAGAUCCCUGGUGAGGUGAGAAAUAUGACAGCUUGGAUAUGAAGAUCAAGGAAUAGGAAAGACUCCAAUGUCAGGGGUUUUAAUAUCAAAGACAAGAAGUGGGAUGAGAGGUAUCAGAAAUGGGGCCACUGGGAAGGGAGGUAGUUUUAGGAGGGAAGAUGCUAAGUUUGGACAUUUUCAGCUUACAGUACCAUCAGGACAGACAAUGAGAGCUAUCUUGUAGGCAGUUGGACACAUGAGAUGGGGCUCAACACAAGUUGAGUUGGUUGAAUUGACUAUAGACACGUAAGGGAUUAAUGCUUGUAAUGAGGGUUUAGAUGGAGUGGGAGAGUAAAUGAAAGGUCCUGGGAAGGAGAUGGGCAGAGGGAAGCGUGCCGAAGAUAGAGACCUGAAGGCACCCACAGGUAAGGUAUGGAAGGAUGAAGAUGAAGGGAGAUGCAGAGGUGACAUAGCAUCAGACAGAGAGAAAGGCUGAGACAUGGAAGGCAAAGGAAUUAUUUUUAAAAGGAUAUAGUGGUCAGAAGUGUCCAAGAUCAUUAUAUAUUAGAAUAUUACUCAGCCGUAAAAAGAUGAAAUCUUGCCAUUUUUGACAACAUGGAUGGACCUGGAGGGUACUAUGCUAAGCGAAAUAAGUCAGACAGAGAAAGCAAAUUCUGUACUAUUUCACUCAUAUGUGGAAGAUAAAAAACAAACAAACAAAAAACAAACACAUAGACACAGAGAACAGAUUGGUGGCUACCAGAGGGGAAGAGUGGGUGGGGGGAGGGCACAAGGGUAACGGGGCACAUUUGUACGAUGAUGGAUGGAAAGUAGACUUCUGGUGGUGAGCAUGAUGUAGUGUAUACAGAAGUUGAAAUAUAAUGAUGUACACCUGAAAUUUAUAUAAUGUUAUAAGCCAAUGUGACCACAAUAAAAAAAAGGUAUCAAAGAUCAAAGAAGGGCUGAGAAGAAGACAACAUCAACCAACCUGCUGAAUUUGAAUUUGGGUCAGAGGGUAGCGGGAGAGCGUGGCCAGGAGAAAGAAAGGAGGAAGAAGGAGGGAGUGGAGGAGAAGCAGGAGGAGUGGAAGGGAGACGGAGACUUUGAAAGGGGAGGUCCCACCUGGAGGUGCAGCGCAAACUUCAGGAAUGGAAGAAGGGACUGAAUGGGUGGACACAGAUUUUAGCAGGAAAAUGGCAGAGUCUGGACAAGAAGGUAGAUAGAUACGGAUUAAGUUUAAGCAAGGGAUAGUUUUCCGGGAUCCCUAAACCUGUUGAUGGAGGAAGGGGAGGAAGACUGCAGGCCUUCAGCGAGUGGCUGGUGUUCCUGAGCACCGAACUGAACAUCCACCCUCUGAGCCAGGACUCAUUCCCCACAGAGCCUUGCAUCUCCACCUCCUUCUGGUGCUUUGGGACGGAAGCUAUACUAAAUUACAAUAAAAUGUCUUAUGUGACUAAAUGUUCCUUUUAAGGUAAACUGACAUAAACAAAUAUUGAUUUAUAACGAGGAAACAAAACCCUUAGCAUCAUGAAAUAAUUUUCUUCCAUCCUUGUGGCCACAUGAGUUGCUGACAAUUCCCAGGACUUGGUAACAGACCUCAUAUUCGGGCCAUUCAUCACAGACGGCUCCAACCGGUCACCUGGUUCCUCACAGCUUUCAUGAAUGGAGCCUCUUGACAUCUCUCAGUUAGAUGGCCCGUAGAUUCCUCAUUUCCAGAAACGAGGCAUCUUGUUUUCAUUAUCAGCUGGUUUACGAAAGAAUUGACUUCCGAGCAGAAUACACCCACGCUCCCUCCCUUGGCGUUUAUUUGGAACCAACAAGCUCUCCUGCUCGGUACCAAGGGAAACAAGAACAUUUGUGAGUCUCUUGUAGUCCGAAACCUUGGACUCGUAGCCACAAUACAAUAAAAAACAUACAGUUUUCCCCUUUGUCUGUGCGAGGUCUUUCAGAACGACGCUCCCCUGUCCUGUGUUUCAUAGCACUAAACAUCAGCCAUUUUCAGAGACUCUGGCAUAUUAUAAGUAUUCUGAGAAUGAACUUAAUGUGUAUUUUAAGCAAGUGUUUCUUUUACUCAACUGUAGUUCAUUAAGGGUUCCUGAGACCAAGUCCUUAUCUAUGUCUACACAGUCUUGAAAGAAAGUGACGCAUUCCUUUCAUAGCUUAGUGAAAAGGAUAAGCGACAAUAACAAAAGGAUCACUUGGCUCACCUGCCAAACCACAGCCCUUUUUCCUUGAACUAAGGAAAGCACAUUGGGAUGGGUGAUUCAUCCAGGCCCUGCGGUCACCAGCUAAUCACACAAUGUGUGUGCUCCGACACUGAAGACAAGAGCUCAAUUCAAAUUCCAUCCUGCUAAUCCCUCGCUCCACCCUGAAGCCCGGUGAAGGACGCCACAGAGUGUCUAGGAACUUUCUGCCCAUGUCUUAGAAGCCUCCUGCCCAUCAAUGAUGCUGACAGCAGGAUUUCACUCUUGCUGCAUGAGAAGGGAGCGAGCCUUCCAGCCUUUCACCAGCUGGCAUGGAAGACCUUGCCUCCCUCCCCCGCCGGGCACCUGUCGACACAUCUGAUGAUAACACUCAGGCCACAGGUGAAUUGUGUUCCUGACUACUGGAUGACAGCUUCUGUCAAAUCCCGGGUGACAGGGCCUCUCCUGUCUUCCCUGCUCCUCGGGGCUGGAGGCUGGAGGCUGGAGGACAGGAUGUCUUUGCCUGGCUAGGAUUCCGACCUCACAGGCAAACUAUCUUUUGCCUGUUUUGAACCAUAUUUGAGGUGCUAUCAUGCUCUCCACUGGGAGAAAGAAAUGUGUUGCUUCCAAAAUAAUUUAUUGGCAAAAGUCUCUCUCACCUAUAUCUAUAGACUAGGGAAUACUUUGAAUUUAAUAUAGAAAGUAAAGUAGAGAAAUGAAGCAAUUAUCCUAGGGGAAAAAGACACUUUUUGUUGGAAACGUUCAAAUAACUAAAGCCAAAAUAUGUAUGUGGGAGGAAAGGGCGCAGUAGAAUUACAGGGAUAACUGUCCCAAUUCAUUGCUUUACUUUGUAUGUGUAGACACAAAAGCGUUCAGUAUUUAAAGUAUCCGUUAUCCUCAAAAAUGAAACCCCAGCCUCUGUGAACUCACUCUAUGUUAGAAGGCAGUGUCCAGAAACACUGGAACCACGCCAGCACCAUUGUUUGCCGUGCAUUUUGGUGUCACUGAAGUCAGAGAGAAAUUUGUUUUGAGGAUAAUGUGCCAUGUUUUUAUGAUGGCGCUUUCACACUGAGGCGUGGGAAGGUGGAAGUUUC
rnacentral:lncRNA from 1 species